GCCGCCAGUGUGAUGGAUAUCUGCAGAAUUCGCCCUUUNUGCCCUGUGGUGGGGAUAACCUCGGGAAANUGAGAAUAAUACCCCAUAGANNGGAGAUGCUGGAACGNUCCCCCAGUUGAAACGGGCUUUACNGCCACAGGAUGAGUCUGCGGCCUAUCAGGUUGUAGNGGGUGUAAAAGGACNUANUAGCCUUNGACGGGUACGNNCCUUGGGAGAGGUUGCCCCGGAGAUGGAUUNUGAGACAUGAAUCCAGGCCCUACGGGGCGCAGCAGGCGCGAAAANUUCACAAUGCGGGGAACCGCGAUGAGGGGAAUCCAAGUGCGUGCGCAAAGCGUACGCUUUUCUUAUGCCUAGAUAGCAUUGGGAAUAAGGGCUGGGUAAGACCGGUGCCAGCCGCCGCGGUAACACCGGCAGCCCGAGUGGUGGUCGAUUUUAUUGGGCCUAAAGCGUCCGUAGCCUGCUCGGUAAGUCCUUGGGUAAAUCAUCCAGCUCAACUGUAUGACUUCCAGGGGUACUGCCGGGCUUGGGACUGGGAGAGGCUAGAGGUACUCAUGGGGUAGGGGUAAAAUCCAGUAAUCCUGUGGGGACCACCAGUGGCGAAGGCGUCUAGCUNGAACGGCUCCGACGGUCAGGGANGAAGCCCAGGGGCCCAAACCGGAUUAGAUACCCGGGUAGUCCUGGGUGUAAACGNUGCGGGCUUGGUGUU
rnacentral:rRNA from 1 species